GAACAAAAUAUAUUUAGGGCAAAUCAUUUCAGCCUCCCCAAUCGCCUCCAUCUCCAUUCUCGUUCUCGACUCUGAACUUGCCCAUCUCUCAGUGCAAACUACAAAAUCUACAAGAAUCAGAAGUUCAAAACCCAUAUAUUUCAGUUUAUCUAUCUGUCUGCAAGAAUCAAAUGUUCAAAACCCAUAUCGGCAUAUCAUUUCAGAUUAUUCAAAAAAUCAAAACCCAGAUCUUUCAGUUCCCAUAGCCCGCUGUUCCAGUUCGGGUUCGCCGAUCGCAAGCUUCAACCGCUGGCCCGCUUUCUCUCAACUCUCAAGCUUGCCCCUCUCUCUCUCUCUGCAACUGCUAACUUGGUUAACAUCGGGCCUUAACAUUUAGCAAGAAUAAGGUUCAAGAAACAUGUCUCCUCAGUCAUCAGGUCUCUUUUCUGAAAGAAGAGAGUUGAUGGGAAUGGGUGGAGUAGGGGAAAAAGAAAAUAGGGCUCUUGAUUGGGACAACUUCCUUGCCAUGUUCGACUUGCUGGGCAUUACGGCUGAGAAGUUGAAGGGGCAUCCGGUGUUAAUGAACCCCUUUGAAAAGGGCUGGAUUAAUGUCUGCUGCUUGUGAUCACCUAGGAUUUGCUAAUAAAGUUUCAUUAUCUUAUGAAGAUGGAGUUCAACAAGGUCGCAGCGUCAUAUUGUUGUAAUGGUGGUUGGGACAUGGUUGUAAAAUUCCUAAGUUGGUAUUUGAUUAUAAGUCUCGUGAGGUCCCUCAAUAUAUUCCUAACGAGGAAUUCCAUAUGUUCAGAUUGUUAAGAAUUAUCUACAUCAUGCUGGUUCUGAAGUGGUUCGGAAGCAAAAGAAGAUCUUAAUUUGUCAUUUUCAAAAAAGGAAGCAGGUUUGGAGCUCUCCCAUGUGUAGAUAGAAGAUAUGUAUUCGGGAAACAUAUGGGAGCUCUCCCAUAUGUUUCCCGGAUACAUGUCUUCUAUCUACACAACUUUGGUGACCAAAUUUCCAAAGUUGAAUAUUUGGUUGAAGGAGUGAAGUCAUUGGUGGAUGAACAUAGGUUGAACAUUCUUUUUUGGCGCCAAGUAAUGUUUGGUUGGGAUAUGUAAUGGGAGUUUUAAUAUUUAAGUUAUAACUUGUUGAACUGGUUUUUCUUUUGCCGUGACAAUGUUUGGGAUAUGUAAUGGAGGUUUUAAUAUUUAGGUUAUAACUUGUUGACCUGGUUUUUCUUUUGCCGUGACAAUGUGACAAUAUUUGGCAUAUGUAACUGAGAUUUGGCUGUUACUUGACUGGGAUUUAUGCAUGGUUGUUAUAGUUCAAUUUUAUUUUUGCAUCUUAAAUGUUUUAUAGCAUUAUUUUGUGUGUUUCUCUACACUUGUGCUAGUCUUCAUGGGCAUGUCAGUGAUGCAAAUGGAUUGAACGGUGUGAAAGCGUGGCCAGAUGAACUGGCUGGUUCACUUGAUGAUAUAGUUUUCAAUCAGCAGAUGAUUGUUAUGAAAGCCUGAUUGAUAUUUGCUAUAUGACUUGUUCCAUCUACUUUCCCAAAUUAGAUUUCGGUAUUGAGAACAAUGAAGUAGUUAAGAAGCAACUAAUUUGAGUGAAUUCCUUCUUACGUAUGACAGAGGACCAUAUUUUUAGUGGUAAAGACUCUUUUAUUAGCAAUAAUUUACAUGUUAGGUUUUGCUGCGUCUGUUAAUAGUUAGUAUGCUCGAAUGUGCAUGUCACCAUCAUUGCCAGCCUUUAACCUGUUCUGUGAAACUGUUAGCCUUGCAUUUUUAAUGAUAUCCAUAUGCUAAUCACUCUUUUUUUAAUUAAUUGUGAUAACUAAUCCAUUCAUUAUGUGGACUAAAUUGAUGCUAUCAGAAACACAAUAGCGAUGUGUUUGUCUUUGUUUCACCCUUUCGCUCUUUCUUUCUUUGUUCUUGUUUUUCGACUCCUGCAUUUCGGAUUAGUUCACAACCACCUAGUUAAGAUACCAGUUCUUGAAUCAUAUUAUGUUAUAGAUACAAAUUUGUUUUUGAAGCUGUACUUGUGAUAACAGGGUAGUGGAUUGACCCCAUUGUUAGUGGACCUUUGAACUGAAUGAGGGUUAAAUACAUAUAGCUCUACGACUGUAAUGGAACUCUUCCACCUUUUACAAAUAUAGGGUUCAUUAUAUAUCAUUAUUGUCUUUGUUAUUAAUGUUUAGACAUAUGGUUUAAUUUAUUCCUAUGAUUGAAACUUUUUGGGUUGUUUAGUGGGAACAAAACAUUGGCCUUUUUGAAAGAAAAUAAAUAGAAAAAUGAAUCAAAGUUGUGUCAUUUAUGUACCUAAAUUUUGUAGAAUAAACAUUUCAUGUCUCAAUGUAUAUGUUCUCAUCCCCAUCUUUUUCUUGAUUUUGUGCCUAUGAGACGCAUUAUGCUACUAAUUUAAAUAAAUGGCAUGUAUGUGUGGUAUUCUGACUGAAUGAAGUGGUGAUCCUAUUAGUGUGGUGGUGCAUGUUGACAAGGUAUGCAGUUGAGGUCUAGGGGUGGCAAAUGAGCGGGUUGGGUUGAAAAUGAGCGGGUCAAACAUGGGUUAAGACUCAUAUUUGACCCGUUCUGAACGGGUUGAAAAUGGACGGGUAAAAAAUGUAUAGGGGUCAACCCAUCAUAACCCGUGAACCCAUUAAUUACUAUUAUUAUUAUUAUUAUUAUUAUUUUUUUUUUUGGAAGGUUUUAAAAAAUAUUAUAACAAAUAAAAAAAAUAAUCUCAAACCCAGUAAUAUUUAUCGACUCGUUUUAGAGAGAAGUGAAGGAAAGAGAAGAAAUAUUUGAUAUUUAAAAAAAAAAAAAAAAUUUAAAAAUUUGAUGUUUAUAAACAUGGAAAAAGAAAAUGUAAUUUGCAUAUUUGAAAAAAACAAUAAAUAAAAUUGACCCAUUAAACCCUACCGACCCGUCUGGAAUUUUGAUGUUUAAAAAUUAAAACUUUCUUAAAAUUUUUUAUAUUUAUAAACAUGGAAAAGGAAAUUGUAAUUUGUAAAAAAAAUAAAAAAUUUGUCCUAUGAAAUUCGACCGAUUCGCUCAAAAUAUUGAUGUUUUAAAAAUAAAAUUUUAUUAAAAACUUUGAUGUUUACAAACCUGGAAAAGGAAAAUGUAAUUUGCAUAUUUGGGAAAAAAAUAAUAAUAAAUAAAUUUUGACCCUUGAAACUCGUCCGAUGUGCCUAAAUUAUUGAUAUUUUAAAAAUAAAAUUUUCUUAAAAAAUUUGAUGUUUACAAACAUGGAAAAAGAAAAUGUAAUUUG